AAGAACUCCCUGAGGAUGAAACCGCAUCCACAUGGUGACAGGUCUGGACCCCCAAAAGCUGAUCAGCCUGCACACACUGGAGCUUCGGGGGAACCAGUUGGACAGCACCCUGGGAAUCAACCUUCCUAAGCUGAAGAACCUCUUCCUGGUAGC